AAAUUUCUGUUUCUUACUUUGGGAGGCCAAGGUGUGAGCCACUGUGCCCGACCACACAUAUUCUUUUGUGAAGUAUGUGAUUUUUACUACUACUUUUUUUCUAUUUCUUACUGAGUUAUGUACAAUUUUCAUAUAUUCUGGACCUAAGCGUUGUUCUGUUACGUUUUGCAAAUGUGUUUUCUCAGCGGUAGCUUGUGUUUUCAUUUUUUUUUUUUUUUAAGAGUCAGAGUCUUGCUCUGUUGCCCUGGCAGAAGUACAGUGGUGAUAAUAAUUACUGCAACCUCUAACUCCUGGGCUCAAGUAAUCUUCUCACCUCAUCCUCCUAAGAAGCUGGGAAUAGAGGCAUGCACCACCACGCUCAGCUAAUUAAAAAAAUUUUUUUACUAUGUUGCCCAGGCUGGUCUCAAACACCUGGCCUCAAGCGAUUCUCUUGCCUAGGCCUCCCAAAGUGUUGGGAUUAUAGGUGUGAGCCAGUGCGCCUGGCUGCCUUGUCAUUUUCUUAAUGGUGUUCUCAAAAGGAGAAGCUUUUAAUUGCAAUGGUUUUCAAUUUAUUAACAAAUCCUAGCCGGGUGCAGUGGCUUAUGCCUGUAAUCCCAGCACUUUGGGAGGCCUAGGUGGGUGCAUCACUUGAGGUCAGGGAGUUCGAGACCAGCCUGGCCAACAUGGUAAAACCUCGUCUCUACUAAAACUACAAAAAUUACCCAGGCGUGGUGGCAUGCACCUGUGGUCCCAGCUACUCAGGAGGCUGAGGUGGGGGAAUCACUUGGACUCGGGAGGCAGAGGUUGCAGUGAGCCAAGUUCAAGCCACUGCACUCCAGUCCGGGUGAUAGGGAGAUCCUGUCUCGAAAGAAGAAAAAAAUCUUUGCCUCGUCCAAGAUCAUGAAUAUUUUCCCCAUUUUGUCUUGGAAAUUUACCAGUUUUAAUGUUUUAUCCUGGGAUAAACUCUGAAUUAAAUUUUCUGUGUGCUGUUAAGUAGAGGAUAAUUUUUUUAAUACAAAUACCCAGUUGUUACAUCAUUUACUGAGAAGACUAACCUUUUUGGCAUUCUAUUAUGUUGGGCCCUUUGCCAAAAAUCAACCAGCUACAUUAGUGGGUCUAUUCUGGUAGCUAUUCUGUAACCUGACAAUCUUUACCCCAGUAUCACUGUUUUGAUUUCAGUAGUUUUAUAGCACGUCUUGAACACAGGUAGUAUAAAUCCACCAACUUCG
rnacentral:lncRNA from 1 species